rnacentral:rRNA from 1 species
GAUGAACGCUGGCGGCGUGCCUAAUACAUGCAAGUCGAGCGAACAGACGAGGAGCUUGCUCCUCUGACGUUAGCGGCGGACGGGUGAGUAACACGUGGAUAACCUACCUAUAAGACUGGGAUAACUUCGGGAAACCGGAGCUAAUACCGGAUAAUAUAUUGAACCGCAUGGUUCAAUAGUGAAAGACGGUUUUGCUGUCACUUAUAGAUGGAUCCGCGCCGCAUUAGCUAGUUGGUAAGGUAACGGCUUACAAAGGCAACGAGGCGUAGCCGACCUGAGAGGGUGAUCGGCCACACUGGAACUGAGACACGGUCCAGACUCCUACGGGAGGCAGCAGUAGGGAAUCUUCCGCAAUGGGCGAAAGCCUGACGGAGCAACGCCGCGUGAGUGAUGAAGGUCUUCGGAUCGUAAAACUCUGUUAUUAGGGAAGAACAAAUGUGUAAGUAACUAUGCACGUCUUGACGGUACCUAAUCAGAAAGCCACGGCUAACUACGUG